GUACUUACCUGGCAGGGGAGAUAACUGAUCACGAAGGUGGUUUUCCCUGGCAAGGCUUAUCCAUUGCACUGUGGAUGUGUUGACCCCUGAGAUUUCCCCAAAUGUGGGAAACUCGACUAUAGUUUGUGGUAGUGGGGGAUUGUGUGUGCAUGGUCUCCCC
ensembl:snRNA U1 U1 spliceosomal RNA